CUUGAGUGGAUCCUGAGUACGACGGAGCACGUGAAAUUCCGUCGGAAUCUGGGAGGACCAUCUCCUAAGGCUAAAUACUCUCUAGUGACCGAUAGUGAACCAGUACCGUGAGGGAAAGGUGAAAAGCACCCCGGAAGGGGAGUGAAAUAGAACCUGAAACCGUGUGCUUACAAGUAGUCAGAGCCCGUUAAUGGGUGAUGGCGUGCCUUUUGUAGAAUGAACCGGCGAGUUACGAUUUGAUGCAAGGUUAAGCAGUAAAUGUGGAGCCGUAGCGAAAGCGAGUCUGAAUAGGGCGUUUAGUAUUUGGUCGUAGACCCGAAACCAGGUGAUCUACCCUUGGUCAGGUUGAAGUUCAGGUAACACU
rnacentral:rRNA from 1 species